rnacentral:rRNA from 1 species
CGGGUGAGUAACGCGUAGGUAACCUGCCUUGUAGCGGGGGAUAACUAUUGGAAACGAUAGCUAAUACCGCAUAACAAUGGAUGACACAUGUCAUUUAUUUGAAAGGGGCAAUUGCUCCACUACAAGAUGGACCUGCGUUGUAUUAGCUAGUAGGUGAGGUAAUGGCUCACCUAGGCGACGAUACAUAGCCGACCUGAGAGGGUGAUCGGCCACACUGGGACUGAGACACGGCCCAGACUCCUACGGGAGGCAGCAGUAGGGAAUCUUCGGCAAUGGGGGCAACCCUGACCGAGCAACGCCGCGUGAGUGAAGAAGGUUUUCGGAUCGUAAAGCUCUGUUGUAAGUCAAGAACGGGUGUGAGAGUGGAAAGUUCACACUGUGACGGUAGCUUACCAGAAAGGGACGGCUAACUACGUGCCAGCAGCCGCGGUAAUACGUAGGUCCCGAGCGUUGUCCGGAUUUAUUGGGCGUAAAGCGAGCGCAGGCGGUUUGAUAAGUCUGAAGUUAAAGGCUGUGGCUCAACCAUAGUUCGCUUUGGAAACUGUCAAACUUGAGUGCAGAAGGGGAGAGUGGAAUUCCAUGUGUAGCGGUGAAAUGCGUAGAUAUAUGGAGGAACACCGGUGGCGAAAGCGGCUCUCUGGUCUGUAACUGACGCUGAGGCUCGAAAGCGUGGGGAGCGAACAGGAUUAGAUACCCUGGUAGUCCACGCCGUAAACGAUGAGUGCUAGGUGUUGGAUCCUUUCCGGGAUUCAGUGCCGCAGCUAACGCAUUAAGCACUCCGCCUGGGGAGUACGACCGCAAGGUUGAAACUCAAAGGAAUUGACGG